CCAGGAACGUGUCUUACUUGGUAAAAUCAUGGCUAAAGGGGUUGAGUUAAUAAGUGAGGUAAUUAAUAAGGUACACCAAUGUCAGUGAGAACGUGUUGCUUUCACUGUGUGCUGCUCCUUUAAAAUAACUUGUUGUUCAUUACGGUUCAUGUUGCAGAAUGUGGCAGGGCUGCAUUCCAUUUUAUAUAAGAAAAGGAAAUGAAAAAUAAUGCUCACAAACAGUUGGAAAGCAGAUAAAUGUUAACCUACCUGGAGCUAAAUUUUUUUCUUUUCUUAAGCAAGCAGAAAUCUGUAUUGUGAGGUUGAAGAAUGGUUGAAGAAUACUAAUUUAGACUAAAAUGAGUGGGGACAGAGGCCCUGCUAUUGAACUGGAUGUUUUAAGCCUAAACAAGCCAAAUGAAUCUGCUUCACCGGGACAGAGUUAUGUGUCUUUGGGGAACGAGUCUAUGAUUCCUCAGUUAACCCUGAAAGAGAAAACAUCUCAGCACAGGUUGAUUAAUCGUGAGGACUCUGACUUCUCUCUGCCCAGCAGUUUGUCAAUGAAAAGUGAGCAGUCAAUGGGUUAUCCUCAUAGCAUCAGUGGAGGACCAGUCACUACAGAACUGAAAUUGAACAAGCCAGAUAAAUCUGCUUUACCAGGACUGAAUUAUGUGUCUUUGGAGAAUGAGUCAAUGUCUCCUCAGUUAACAUUGAGGGACAUAAAUGCUCAACACAGGUUGAUUAAUCGUGAGGACUCUGACUUCUCUCUGCCCAGCGGUUUGUCAAUGAAAAGUGAGCUGUCAAUGGAUCAUCCUUACAACAUCAGUGGAGGACCAAUCACUACAGAACUGAAGUAUGUUAGUCUAGCAUUAAGCAACAGUCUGUUUCUGUUAACAUCAACAAUGUAACAGUUUUUGGUGCAUAUAUGUAUUAAUUAUAGUCUUUAGACAUGUGUACCAAAAUGGUCUUGGUGUGAACAGGCCUUACAAUUAGCAUAAAUAGAGGCCCUGCUCUUGAUCAGCAUUUUUCAGAACCAUCUAGAGCCUGAGCUGAUCAUAGAGACCAAUGGCUUGUUCCACUGUUUUCUACGGUGUACUAAGGCUUAUGGUACCUUUGCAUUUCCCAAAAGCAAAGUAUAAGGAUUUUUUUUUUUUUUUUUUUUUCAAUCAUGAUUGCACAUGCGCAUUAUUGAGCCCACAACAUAAAGUGCUUGGACAGAAUUGUAUGAAUGUAUGUAUUUAUUUAUUUAUUUAUAGCUUGAACAAGCCAAAUAAACCUUCUUCACCAGGACCA
ensembl:lncRNA